rnacentral:rRNA from 1 species
GAUGAACGCUGGCGGCGUGCCUAAUACAUGCAAGUCGAGCGAACAGACGAGGAGCUUGCUCCUCUGACGUUAGCGGCGGACGGGUGAGUAACACGUGGAUAACCUACCUAUAAGACUGGGAUAACUUCGGGAAACCGGAGCUAAUACCGGAUAAUAUAUUGAACCGCAUGGUUCAAUAGUGAAAGACGGUUUUGCUGUCACUUAUAGAUGGAUCCGCGCCGCAUUAGCUAGUUGGUAAGGUAACGGCUUACCAAGGCAACGAUGCGUAGCCGACCUGAGAGGGUGAUCGGCCACCCUGGAACUGAGACACGGUCAAGACUCCUACGGGAGGCAGCAGUAGGGAAUCUUCCGCAAUGGGCGAAAGCCUGACGGAGCAACGCCGCGUGAGUGAUGAAGGUCUUCGGAUCGUAAAACUCUGUUAUUAGGGAAGAACAAAUGUGUAAGUAACUAUGCACGUCUUGACGGUACCUAAUCAGAAAGCCACGGCUAACUACGUG